UUUAUACUCCCUCCGUCCGGAAAUACUUGUCUGAGAAAUGAAUAAAAAUGGAUAUAUCUAGAACUAAAAUACGUCUAGAUACAUCCAUUUCUUCGACAAGUAUUUCUGGACGGAGGGAGUACAAA
rfam:Triticum aestivum genome assembly, contig: Triticum_aestivum_CS42_TGACv1_scaffold_251193_3DL